rnacentral:lncRNA from 1 species
AGGAAUUUGCCCCUCAAACAGUGUGCCCUGAUGUCCAACCCGAAGAAGUGAAACUGCUGUGGAGAGGUGAAGCCCCGUGGCCACCUCUGGAGAGGUGAAGCCCCGUGGCCAGCUUCUGUCGCUGCCAUCUGCCAUUGCUUUUUGUUCCCUUGCUUUUGGUUUUGCAAGCAUGGCCUCUGUCUGAUCUGC